rnacentral:rRNA from 1 species
CGCUGGCGGCGUGCUUAACACAUGCAAGUCGAACGCGAAAUUUUUUCUUCGGAGAAAAGAGUAGAGUGGCGCACGGGUGAGUAACGCGUAAGUAAUCUACCCUGGCAUCUGGAAUAACCCACCGAAAGGUGUGCUAAUACCGGAUACGUUGAUUUAUCAAGAAAGGUGGCCUCUAUUUAUAUGCUACCGUGCUAGGAGGAGCUUGCGUACCAUUAGCUAGUUGGUAGGGUAAUGGCCUACCAAGGCGACGAUGGUUAGCGGGUCUGAGAGGAUGAUCCGCCACACUGGAACUGGAACACGGACCAGACUCCUACGGGAGGCAGCAGUGAGGAAUAUUGCGCAAUGGGGGAAACCCUGACGCAGCGACGCCGCGUGGAUGAUGAAGGCCUUCGGGUCGUAAAAUCCUGUCAGGUGGAAAGAAAUGCAUAUAUAUUAAUACUAUUUAUGUUUGACGGUACCACCAAAGGAAGCACCGGCUAACUCCGUGCCAGCAGCCGCGGUAAUACGGAGGGUGCAAGCGUUGUUCGGAAUUACUGGGCGUAAAGCGCGCGUAGGCGGCUUUAUAAGUCAGAUGUGAAAGUCCAUGGCUCAACCAUGGAAGUGCAUUUGAAACUGUAAA